ensembl:lncRNA
GGGGGGGGUUCUCCAAAGUCCAUUUCAGGCCUAUGAAACCACAUUAGAUGUCAGUGAAUUGAUUCUCGAAACAUGGUGACGAAUGUGCUAUACUGAUAACAAGAAACAAUCACAGUUUAGCUCUAAUCGUUGCUACCCACUUGCAAAGACGCGAAUCCUGUAUGAUUAACGGUUCCACACUGCCAUUAGAUUUCAUCUCUGGUCAGGCUCUGGGAAAUAUUCUGUGAUGGGCUGCCGUGAGGUGAAACCAAACCAUAUUUGUGGUUGCCUUCGAUAUAUAUUCCCCAACGAUUGCUGCUGUCAUAUUGCACUGCUCCUGAACAGUCAUGGCGAUAUUCUCUCACAAUAAUGUGACUCCUCCACACGCACUUCUGGACAAUUCUUGCAGCUCAAAUUCUGCUAGAGUGUAACAGAGCUGUUCUAAUUUGUUAAGUAAGUACCACCUGCACUAGUGACCUCUAUACACACCCCUGUAAUAUUUAGUUACUUGUUAUUGUAGGAAUGGUGACUUGGGUAUGCUAGCCCACUUUGUGCAGUGAGUAUUGACUUCUCAAAGCCUACCCUCUCUCACAUUUGAAUAUUUCAUGAACUACUCUGUCAGCAGACAUUUGUGUCCCUUCGCGUCCUCUCUCAAAUGUGCGGGCAGUGGCUGCAUUUUUGGCGCACUGAGAUUUCUUGGUCGUUGUAUUGAUUCUGUCUAAUCGAUAACCUGUUGUAAGUGGACAGCGGCGCAAAUCAAACUCAUGGGCUAUGUGCAAUUAAACGUGUUUUUUUUUUUCUGGGUUGGUUAGAAACCUACUGCGGAUCCCAACUAGUAUCCACUAGUAGGAAAAGUUAAGUUGGAGGCCUCAUUGCUGUACCUGAUUCAUCUUAUUCAUCAAAUCCUGCCUAUUUCUUUACCAUGUGAUGAAUUUGACUUGCUAUCCAGCUAUUUUGAAAGCCCCACUUGUCAAUAGUGAAACCUAAUCUAAACAGACUAGCAGGCCAAGACGUGGGCCUAUUUCCAGGCGAAACGGCACACAAGGAGAGACCUGCGUUCGUUAAUACACUCCCUGCUUUACCAUAUUAAUCAGGUCAAGUGUGAUCUGAGUAAGUACGAUAGUACGAUAAGUGCCCAGGAAAUUAAUGGGAAUAAAAUCGCCCAUAUUGUUCUCUUGUUCAGCGCUAUGAUAGGGCGUGUUUAUUCUCUCUCACUCCAUGAUAGAAUCACACCUGAUAUGGGUGUGAAGGCAGUUUAUCAGACAAGCUUUAGUGUUAGCUAAACAUUAGUCAGACCACAUGCUCUUUUACUGUAGCUGUUUGCCCUGCCCUGAGCCAACUCUGGAACUCUUUUACAGGUAGAGCCAUAGCCGACCUCUUCAGUAGACUCUACUUCUAGUGUGUGGGAUUGCGUUUUCUGCAUAAGGGUUAGGUCUAGAGAGAGAGGAGUGUUUUCUGCAUAAGGGUUAGGUCUAGAGGAGAGUGUUUUCUGCAUGAGGGUUAGAGGUCUAGAGGAGUGUUUUCUGCAUAGGUGUUGGGUCUAGAGAGGAGUGUUCCAUUUCCACUAUCGCUCUUAUGACAGCUCCUAGUCUGAGGCCCAUCUUGACUGAACGGCAUCUUUGGAACAGCAUACUCUAAACUGAAUGGCAUCUUUGGAACAGCAUACUCUAAACUGAAGCAGGUAUCUUUGGAACAGCAUACUCUAAACUGAAGCAGGUAUCUUUGGAACCGCAUACUCUAAACGGAUGCAGGUUGUGGAGUGUCGACCAUUUGGCGUAGAGAAGAUUGUGAAAUUCACUUUGGGUCACAUUUAGAGAUUGAAUGGAGGUCCAGAUGUAAAUGAUCUAUCAGACACACACAGUAUUUCCUUGUUCCUGCCGCAAGCACCACGCUAUCACUACAGUAUCACACAAACACACAAACACACAUACACACAUACACACAUACACACAGUGCAGACGAAGAAAGGGGUUUCUCUUCACUUGCACAAGCCAUUUUUAUCUCAAGUGUAGUCAAGGCGUGUGGAUUAACAGCCACAAGCCCCCUACCCCCCCACAUACACAUCCAGACACGUGCACCCACAC